GUUUACUCUACCGGUUCUUGAAGCUUUAAUACCGAAAUCUUACAUUUCCUUAAAGUUUUGUUUUUAGUCUAAACUUGUUACAGUACAACAGUAGCACAGUACAAUAGCAAACGACAGUUGUGUACAAUAUUAAUUAAUAAAGGUAACAAUAAACAUAAAAUGUUUAUUUUAAAACCAUGUUAAUAAAAAAAUAUUUCAGGUAUAGCAGCAUAAUACAUGUAAAUGUUUAGAAAAAACCUCUACUAAAUAGUAAAUAGCAUAACUUUAAUCAAAGUCUUUGUGUUCCAUCGGGCAUCACUCAUCGCUUCGACAAAAUUGUUUCAUUCUUCAAAACUUGUCACCUUUGAACAGCAAGAAACAUAACCAGGUAAGUCUAAGUGUCCUCCUUUUCCUUUCCAUGGCUUAGGAGUAAAAAUCGAUGUAUUAUUUAUGACAUGAUAUCGUUUUCUCGAAACCUUUCUUCUUUAUUUAUAUAUUAAAACUGGCUGUCAUCACGGUUAAUAGAGCUGUCAUAUAGUGUGUUUACUGGCUGCCGAUUUUUUGGCCGCGUAGAAGGUCUGGGACCUAAAUUAAAAGCUCGGGACACUUUUUGACCCUGAGCAAUCUCGUUCCCCGAGCAUGCCCGUUCGCAGGUUAAGGGUGGGCAUAGCUCUGGAGAAAUCGAAUUGAUUCAGGCCUGUGAUUGGCUAACGGCAGACAGUACGUUGG